CCUACGGGGGGCAGCAGUGGAGAAUAUUGGACAAUGGGGGCAACCCUGAUCCAGCCAUGCCGCGUGUGUGAAGAAGGCCCUCGGGUUGUAAAGCACUUUCAGUGAGGAAGAACGCCUGGUGGUUAAUACCCAUCAGGAAAGACAUCACUCACAGAAGAAGCACCGGCUAACUCCGUGCCAGCAGCCGCGGUAAUACGGAGGGUGCGAGCGUUAAUCGGAAUUACUGGGCGUAAAGCGCGCGUAGGUGGCUUGAUAAGCCGGUUGUGAAAGCCCCGGGCUCAACCUGGGAACGGCAUCCGGAACUGUCAAGCUAGAGUGCAGGAGAGGAAGGUAGAAUUCCCGGUGUAGCGGUGAAAUGCGUAGAGAUCGGGAGGAAUACCAGUGGCGAAGGCGGCCUUCUGGACUGACACUGACACUGAGGUGCGAAAGCGUGGGUAGCAAACAGGAUUAGAUACCCUGGUAGUC
rnacentral:rRNA from 1 species